rnacentral:rRNA from 1 species
UACGGAGGAUGCGAGCGUUAUCCGGAUUUAUUGGGUUUAAAGGGUGCGUAGGCGGCAGAUUAAGUUAGAGGUGAAAUUCCGAGGCUCAACCUUGGCACUGCCUCUGAUACUGUUCGGCUAGAGAGUAGUUGCGGUAGGCGGAAUGUAUGGUGUAGCGGUGAAAUGCUUAGAGAUCAUACAGAACACCGAUUGCGAAGGCAGCUUACCAAGCUACUUCUGACGUUGAGGCACGAAAGCGUGGGUAUCGAACAGG